AAUGCACCGAUGAGAGAGCAGGAGGGCUGUUGGGAUGGCUUUAGGUUUUGACAGCAGGAAAGAGCACGCCAAAUGAAUCCAUGGACUCGGCUGAGCAUUUACAAAUCCAGAAGCAGAAGCAAGGCUUUUUCUCCCAGAUGGGUCAGCAGGAGGAGCUGCUGCUUCCCCGUGGUCUGAAACGCUUUAGGAAACUGGAGCUUUUGUGUCUUGGACCGUUUGCUUUCACACAGAUGAAGAAGUCAUGCAAAGGACACCUCAAGAUGGAACACCGUGAGCCUACAGGGCCUGAGAGCAGUGUUUUGAUCCACAGCUACAGCAGUGACUCCGAACCAUUUGGUCACAGGUCUGGAGGUGCUGGUGUAUCAGAAUGGACCCGAUCACAUACUGUGACUGAGAUGUCGGCGCUGAGCCGAUUUAAGCUUGUUUGAAGGAUGAAAGUCACCGCUGGCUGUGCUGGGGCUGAGAAAUUACACCUGGCGAUAAUAUUAUGAUCUUUUUUUUCUUCUUUAA
ensembl:lncRNA